GGUUGGGGCUCAGUGGUAGAGCACUUGUCUGGCACAUGUGAUCCUGGGUUUGAUCCUCAGCACCA
rnacentral:tRNA from 1 species